rnacentral:rRNA from 1 species
CCGCCCGUCACAUCAUGAAAGCCGGUUGUACCCGAAGUCCGCAAGCUAACUGCAAAGAAGCAGCGGCCGAAGGUGUGGCUGGUGAUUGGGAUG